UAUUGCACAAUGGGGGAAACCCUGAUGCAGCAACGCCGCGUGAGUGAGGAAGUAUUUCGGUANGUAAAGCUCUAUCAGCAGGGGANNACNNNGNAGGUACCUGAAAAAGAAGCCCCGGCUAACUACGUGCNNNCNGCCGCGGUAAUACGUAGGGGGCAAGCGUUAUCCGGAUUUACUGGGUGUAAAGGGAGCGUAGACGGAAAGGCAAGUCAGAAGUGAAAGCCCAAGGCUCAACCAUGGGACUGCUUUUGAAACUGUCAAACUAGAGUACGGGAGAGGUAAGAGGAAUUCCUAGUGUAGCGGUGAAAUGCGUAGAUAUUAGGAGGAACACCAGUGGCGAAGGCGUCUUACUGGACCGAAACUGACGUUGAGGCUCGAAAGCGUGGGGAGCAAACAGG
rnacentral:rRNA from 1 species